rnacentral:rRNA from 1 species
GAUGAACGCUGGCGGCGUGCCUAAUACAUGCAAGUCGAGCGAACAGACGAGUAGCUUUCUCCUCUGACGGUAGCGGCGGACGUGAGAGUAACACGUGGAUAACCUACCUAUAAGACUGGGAUCACUUCGGGAAACCGGAGCUAAUACCGGAUAAUAUAUUGAACCGCAUGGUUCAAUAGUAAAAUACGGCUUUGCUGUUACUUAUAGACGGUUCCGCGCCGCAUUAGCUAGUUGGUAAGGUAACGGCUUACCAAGGCAACGAUGCGUAGCCGACCUGAGAGGGUGAUCGGCCACACUGGAACUGAGACACGGUCCAGACUCCUACGGGAGGCAGCAGUAGGGAAUCUUCCGCAAUGGGCGAAAGCCUGACGGAGCAACGCCGCGUGAGUGAUGAAGGUCUUCGGAUCGUAAAACUCUGUUAUUAGGGAAGAACAAAUGUGUAAGUAACUAUGCACGUCUUGACGGUACCUAAUCAGAAAGCCACGGCUAACUACGUG